ACAGGUUCAAAAACAACUAACGCAUGCAGAAUUGGAAAAGAUAUGAAAACUGUACGUUUGUAAAUCGAUGGAAGAGAUGUUUGAGACUCGAUUGAGUAUAAAAUCAUGAUAUUAACUAUUAAUUAAAACCAGACAGCUGAUAUUUAGAAUCGUAUGUUAUUCACACAUAGCUAAAAUUGCAAUCUACCGUUGCCACGCCAAAACCAUUUUAACUAAGUGCCCCAGAUUUUUUCUACACGAAACGUACGCCAUUAACUAAUCAAAUGUUCUUCUAGAACAUAUAAAAAAAUUAGUCUGGGUUAUUGUAUUUAGAGUUCGUACGGAGGCCGUGAAUAUUGGGUAUUUUCGACAUAUAGCGUGACUGAAAUCUACAAGUGUUUUGUUCCUUCCGGAAGUUCCGGUCGCUAUUUUCUCAUAAAUAGUUGCUAUUUUCAUCGGGAAUUAAACCCGAAAAUGCAUUUCCGUAAGAAUGGCUGUUAUUAUCAAUUUACAUGGUUUUAGCAGUCACAGCAUUCUUUAUUUAAGACUAAGUACUAUGACCGAGAUAAUUUCUGUAUAUUUUAUACCGAUUACAUGGAGAGUUUUCAGCCUGGGCUGAAUUUCAGCCCGGUAAACCGAGCCGAAAUAGCAUCACGAUUACAUGGGCAGUUUGAACCUGGGCUGAGUUUUAGUCAGAGCAAUAUUUAUUCCUUGUAACUAGUAUUAAAACAAACCCAGGAUGAAAUGUCAUCCCGGCCUGAAAUAUACGAUAUCACGAAAGGCAAUAUUCCGCUUGUUUGAGCAUUUAAAACGGCGAUUAAUUAGUCGACUAUUUGACUUGUGUAAGACUGUGGUUGCAUAAUUAUUUGCAAUUACAUGCAUGGGAUAUUUCAUCCGGGUUGACAGGGCUGAAAAUCUCAUCCUGGGUGACAUAAACCGGGAUGAAAAUUUCAACCCGGCCUGAAUUUCAGCCCUGUCAACCGGGAUGAAAUAUCCCAUGUAAUCGCAAAUAAUUUCAGCCCGGGCUAAAAAAAAACAAUCGUUUAAGUGGCUUUAUUUUGCAUUUCGUUUGCAAUUCGAAAUUUUUUCCAUGUAAUCGUAAAAUUCAUAUUAUAUUGAAUUUAUAGGGGCCCCGGUCUGAAAUUUCAUCCCUGUUUGCCAGGCUGAAAUUUCAUCCCGGGCUGAAAACCUCCACGUAAUCGGCCCCUUAUUUUAACUAAAGACAAAACUUAGCACAUUUUCUACUAAGCUAUAAAAGAAGGAUGACUUCGAAAUUAUUUUCAGUUUUUUUUAAUUGUUAGUUUGCAUGUGGUUUGGCUGAACAUGCUCAGAGACAGAGAAAUUGUGUUCUCAAACUCAUUAAUAAUUUAUAAACCGAAAACAAAAGAAAUUAAUGUUUAAUCAUGGGCGUACCGGAAGGAAAAAAUUAGGGGGGCGGAAAGAAAUUUGCCCGACUUUUUCGGAUUGUGCCCGACCAGUGCCGAAAAAUUUUUUUCCGUAACAAAUUAAUUUUGGCGACCUCCCCCCCCCGUUUCGGUCAGUGUAUCAUUUUAGGGGUCCAAAAAUUUUUCGGACAUACAAAAAUUUUUCGGAACAUCAUACAAAUUUUCAACACAUCACAAAAUUGACCACAAAAUUGACGGAAUUUCCCACAAAAUUGACAGAAUUUGUCCCAUUUAUUUUUAUAAUAAGCCAAUAUUGCCCGACUGUGGAGCGAAUAUUGCCCGACUGACUUUGUUUGCCCAACAAACUGGGGGGGGGGGCUGCCGCCCACCCCGGUACGCCCAUGUGUUUAAUCAGUGUUUUGAAACUGGAAGAAAACUAUCUUCAAAGCAGGUGGAGGAUUUGAAAUCUCCCAGGGUCAGCGGGCCUGAUUAAGUAUUCAUUUUCAAACUACUAGUAGUUUGAAAUUUUUCAAGGUACUAGUAGUUUGAAAUUUUUCAAGGUACUAGUAUUUUUAAAUUUUUCAAGGAACUAGUGCACUGGAAUUAAUUUAAGGUACAGAAUAUUGUUCUGCCAUUAACAAAACUACAAAGCAAAAUUAAACACACUUGAAUCCUAAACACUUUUGUGGUGAAAAGUAAACUAUCAGGUAAAAGCGCCGGUUUGUCUUGAGACAGCGAUCGGGCGAUGUAAUUAACGUGUAAAUUUCGUAUCUGGAAAGUUUGAUACUGCAUGUCUAAAAAUAGAUCUUGCCAAGGUCUGACCGUCAUGGAUAUAAAGUGCUCCUUUUUCGCAAUAGUUGUUGGUCAUUGUGGCCAUGAUACUAGAGUUAAAAACAAAUCAUCAGAAUGCGUUCAGUUGUUAAAUUGUAAUCAUGAUUUACAGGGCAUAAAUCGGAAAACAUUGAGCAAUUCGUAAUAUAUCCUGCACAUCGAUCUACUCUUGGAGCAGGGUGGAAACAGGCAGAAACCGAGAAAUGUAGAAUUCCUGUGAUUCUAUCAAAUAUUUCUUUACCACUAUUUCCAUUGUUACUAGAAACGCGAUGAUAGAGACAACAGUCACGACAGGGAAAUCGGGUAAAACACUGCCAAACAAUUUUUUAGGUACUUUAUUGACUUUGAUUGGCAGCAAUAAAAAUAGUGUUAAUGGUUCGCACGCAAAUAUACCUAAUUUUAAAAACUGCACUAAUUUUGCGAGAUAUAAACAGAACCAAAAAUAUUGUGAUUGUUCUAUCAGGAGAGUAAAUUUAAUCGUACAGUACGGUGGCGCGCGAUCGCCAAUCGUGUCAGUUCUACUUGCUUCACCUGAUGUUAGCUUCUUUAGAGACACUUCCUAAAAAUGCUGUAACUGCUAAAACGCUGUGAGUUGCUAAUAAAGGGUGCCUUUUUAUUUUUAACGGCAUUUUCGGGUUUAAAUUCCGAAUGAAAAUAUAAACGAAUGAAUAGCGACCGGAAGGAACAAACACUUGUCGAUUUCAGUCACGCUAUAUGUCGAAAAUACCCAAUAUUCACGGCCUCCGUACGAACUCUAAAUACAAUAACCCAAACUAAUUUUUUUAUAUGUUCUAGAAGAACAUAUAAUUAGUUAAUGACGUAAGUUUCGUGAUGAAAAAAUCUGGGGCACUUAGUUAAAAUGUUUUUUUGCGUGGCAACGGUACAUCGUAAUUUUCGCUAUUUGUGAAUACCAUACGAUUCUAAAUAUCAGCUGUCAGGUUUUAAUUAAUAGCUAAAAUUAUUAUUUUAUGCCAAAUCAAGUCUCAAACAUCUCUUCUAUCGACUUACAAACGUAUAGUUUUCACAUCUUUUUCCUACUUUGCAU